rnacentral:rRNA from 1 species
GCGAGCGUUAAUCGGAAUUACUGGGCGUAAAGCGUGCGCAGGCGGCGCGUUAAGACAGGUGUGAAAGCCCCGAGCUUAACUUGGGAAUUGCGCUUGUGACUGGCGUGCUGGAGUGUGGCAGAGGGAGGUGGAAUUCCACGUGUAGCAGUGAAAUGCGUAGAGAUGUGGAGGAACACCGAUGGCGAAGGCAGCCUCCUGGGCCAGCACUGACGCUCAUGCACGAAAGCGUGGGGAGCAAACAGG